rnacentral:lncRNA from 1 species
CAGCUCUCUUCAGUAUGCCCCGCCUCCCAGGAGCUGAGAAGUGUGUUUUACUGGGCAGACAAUGGCACUCUUGAGAUGUUCAUAGAGGUUGUUGUCUAAUCUAGGCUUGUUUCAUUUCAUCUGCUGACAUAACUCUUACAUAGAACAAGAGAGGAGUGUGCAACACAACACAGGAAAUGCACCCGUUCAUUCUACCAGCAUCCAGGGCGGAGCGCUACUCUCUGGAUGAUGCAAUUGGGGAACACCAGAUGACUAAAGCAUGGUUGCAUAGGGCAGAUGUGAAAACAGAUAAUUAAAAUAACACAGCCAAGUGCUGAAUAAGGUUUGUACUGAUGGCUGAGGGAACACAAAGAGGAUAUAAUUCUUUGCCAGAGGGAGUCAAGGCAAAUGGAUGGAACUAGAAGAAACCAUCCUGAGUGAGGUAACCCAGUCACAAAAAGACAAACAUGAGCCUUCAUCCAGUAGCUGAUCGAAGCAGAAACAGGCACCCACAGCUCAGCACUGAACCAUACUCCUGGAAUCCAGUUGCAGAGAGGGAGUAGGGAUGAGCAAAAGAGCCAAGAUGUGCUGCAGAAACCCACAAAAACAGCUUACCUGACCUAGUGAGAGCAUGGAGACCCUAGUCGUAAAGCUGGAGAACCAGCAUUGGACCGAACCAAGCCCUCUGAAUGUGGGUGCCAGCUAGGCGACCAAGACAGUCUAUGGGACCUCUAACAGUGGAGCCAGUGUUUGUUCCUAGAACACAAAUGGACUGUGGGAGCCCAUUCCCUAUGGAGGAUACUAUUGCAGCCCAGAUACAGCAAGGAGGGCCUAGGCCCUCCCACAAAUGAUAUGAUGGACUUUGACGGUCCCCUGUGGAGAGUCUCACUAUCCCUGGGGAACAGGUAGGGGG